rnacentral:rRNA from 1 species
UGAGGAAUAUUGGUCAAUGGGCGAGAGCCUGAACCAGCCAAGUAGCGUGCAGGACGACGGCCCUAUGGGUUGUAAACUGCUUUUGUAUGGGGAUAAAGUCAAUCACGUGUGAUUGUUNGGCAGGUACCAUACGAAUAAGGACCGGCUAAUUCCGUGCCAGCAGCCGCGGUAAUACGGAAGGUUCGGGCGUUAUCCGGAUUUAUUGGGUUUAAAGGGAGCGUAGGCCGGAGAUUAAGUGUGUUGUGAAAUGUAGACGCUCAACGUCUGACUUGCAGCGCAUACUGGUUUCCUUGAGUACGCACAACGUUGGCGGAAUUCGUCGUGUAGCGGUGAAAUGCUUAGAUAUGACGAAGAACUCCGAUUGCGAAGGCAGCUGACGGGAGCGCCACUGACGCUUAAGCUCGAAGGUGCGGGUAUCGAACAGGAUUAGAUACCCUGGUAGUCCGCACAGUAAACGAUGGAUGCCCGCUGUUGGUACCUAGUAUCAGCGGCUAAGCGAAAGCAUUAAGCAUCCCACCUGGGGAGUACGCCGGCAACGGUG